AGAUCCCUGGGUGCUUGAGACCUUCCUCAGGAAAAAUCAACCUACGGUUGAGGAACAAUGUGAAGGUGAAGCCAGGUUUGCUGGAUGAGAUUUGUCUCGUGGCUAUUCAACUACCUGGGCUCUCCCUCUUCUGCACAGGACAGGAAGAGAAAUCAAGAUGGAACAGCUGGUGGGAGAUAGCCUACCAGCUAGUGUUAAAGGAAACAGAGUUUGGACUUUGAGAAAAUUGAUUUCACUUAUUCUGGUCUGGUUCUAAAGCAGAAUAAAUCCCAUUGCCUGCUGGAUAUGCCUUCUGAGCAUGUGAGGAAAGAAAUCCUCUGUUACAAGAUUUUUGAGCCAAAUAAGUGACAAUGACCCCUGGACCCCAAGACCUUUCCUGACAUUAGAAGGCUUCUCCUAUCAGCAAAUGAAGUCACGACCUAACCUAGUGACCGGUAGCUGACUUUGUAUUUGUGUUGGUUGCUCUGAAAGUAAUGCCUCGUAUGUAUUUCCACGGAAAAUACAACAGAUAAAACCAGCACAAGGAUGCUAUUUGAGAGAGAAUUCUCAGCUACAGAAUACUGCUUGUCAAUGGUCACUGCUGGUAUCGGUGCAUUUUUGCCAGUGGUGAACAAGAGCAUGCAUGCUGCACUUGAAUCUAUCUGCACUAGCAGUGGUGACCCUGAGUUGCCACUGCUGAAACACACCACCAACCUCCCCUGUGCAUUCACAUCCCACGUUUGGUCUCCAUAAAUGUUCAGCAAGCUUCAGUGGCUGUCAACAAGUGCCUUUUUUUCCACACAGAGGAAUUCAGUGGCACACCUUUGCUUCCCACGCACUUCCAUGUUGGAUGCCAUUCUGUUGGACUGCCCCUCUGCUGCCAUUUGUCUCACAGCAACAAAAUGUAUUGGAGUAUUGGUGGGAAGGUUCAGCUUCUCCUACCACGCCACCAACGUUCCCAUCUAAUGUUGUGGGCUGACAUAAUGAAAUAGGAGGCAUUAUUUUUGGAACAGUCCCCCUGGAAUGUAUGUGGAGUAAUAUAUGCAAAAUAGAGG
rnacentral:lncRNA from 1 species